rnacentral:rRNA from 1 species
AUUGAACGCUGGCGGAAUGCUUUACACAUGCAAGUCGAACGGUAGAGGGGGCAACCCCUUGAGAGUGGCGAACGGGUGAGUAAUAUAUCGGAACGUGCCCAGUCGUGGGGAUAACGUAGCGAAAGCUACGCUAAUACCGCAUACGAUCUAUGGAUGAAAGCGGGGGAUCGCAAGACCUCGCGCGAUUGGAGCGGCCGAUAUCAGAUUAGGUAGUUGGUGAGGUAAAGGCUCACCAAGCCGACGAUCUGUAGCUGGUCUGAGAGGACGACCAGCCACACUGGGACUGAGACACGGCCCAGACUCCUACGGGAGGCAGCAGUGGGGAAUUUUGGACAAUGGGCGCAAGCCUGAUCCAGCAAUGCCGCGUGCAGGAUGAAGGCC